UACGAAGGGGGCUAGCGUUGCUCGGAAUCACUGGGCGUAAAGGGUGCGUAGGCGGGUCUUUAAGUCAGGGGUGAAAUCCUGGAGCUCAACUCCAGAACUGCCUUUGAUACUGAAGAUCUUGAGUUCGGGAGAGGUGAGUGGAACUGCGAGUGUAGAGGUGAAAUUCGUAGAUAUUCGGAGGAACACCAGUGGCGAAGGCGGCUCACUGGUCCGGUACUGACGCUGAGGUGCGAAAGCGUGGGGAGCGAACAGG
rnacentral:rRNA from 1 species